GGGGGCGCGCGGCUCGGAGCGGCCCCGCCGCGUCGGGCCCCGCGAGUGUGUGCACAGCGUCCCCGGGCGUGUCGGGAGCCGGUCCUGCGCGGCGCCGCGGCCGAGCACCGAGGAGGACCAGUGGUGUCACGAUGCUGCCUCUCAGCGCCGUCGAGGGCAAGGACACUGAGGAGGUGAAGACCACGCCACCGGAGAAAGGAGCCCUGCUUUCUGAGAACACUGAUGAUCCGCCAAGCAAGCCCUCCAGGAUGAAGGGAAGAAUGUCACUCAAAAUCCUGCCUUUCUGCCCCCUGCCAAGCUUUUGCUUCACCUAUUACCUGGAACCAGACGACUCUGAUUCUGAUUCGGAAACUCCUCCUGAGCCUUUGAAACCGGAUUCAAAUUGCACAAUCAUUCCUAUCCUUGGUUUAGAGUUUAAGGAAAUCAAGGUGUGGGAAUGUCCCCUGUGCUGUCUCACAUUUUUCUCUGCUUCCUAAACCUGACAUCCCUCUGCUUCCCGCUCUCUUCCCCUGAAACUUGCAUGCCGGGCUACUGUGAUCUAAAAGCCCAAAAUACAGCUGCUUAAAUAAAUCAGACGUGCUAUCUCUC